rnacentral:piRNA from 1 species
AGGGUAAGAAGCCCAGGACCAAAG